rnacentral:tRNA from 1 species
UAAAUUGAGGCUUAUAAGCAUCUAGCUGUUAAUUAGAAGGUUGUGGAUUAAAACUCCAUCAAUUUAG